rnacentral:rRNA from 1 species
UACGUAGGGGGCUAGCGUUGUCCGGAAUCAUUGGGCGUAAAGCGCGCGUAGGCGGCCCGGUAAGUCCGCUGCAAAAGUCAGAGGCUCAACCUUUGAAUGUCAGUGGAUACUGCCGGGCUAGAGUCCGGAAGAGGCGAGUGGAAUUCCUGGUGUAGCGGUGGAAUGCGCAGAUAUCAGGAGGAACACCGACGGCGAAGGCAGCUCGCUGGGACGGUACUGACGCUGAGGCGCGAAAGCGUGGGGAGCAAACAGG